rnacentral:rRNA from 1 species
AAAAGGUGGCUAUGCUACCGCUUUUGGAUGGGCCCGCGGCGCAUUAGCUAGUUGGUGGGGUAAAGGCUUACCAAGGCAAUGAUGCGUAGCCGAACUGAGAGGUUGAUCGGCCACAUUGGGACUGAGACACGGCCCAAACUCCUACGGGAGGCAGCAGUAGGGAAUCUUCCACAAUGGGCGAAAGCCUGAUGGAGCAACGCCGCGUGGGUGAAGAAGGUCUUCGGAUCGUAAAACCCUGUUGUUAGAGAAGAAAGUGCGUGAGAGUAACUGUUCACGUUUCGACGGUAUCUAACCAGAAAGCCACGGCUAACUACGUGCCAGCAGCCGCGGUAAUACGUAGGUGGCAAGCGUUAUCCGGAUUUAUUGGGCGUAAAGGGAACGCAGGCGGUCUUUUAAGUCUGAUGUGAAAGCCUUCGGCUUAACCGGAGUAGUGCAUUGGAAACUGGGAGACUUGAGUGCAGAAGAGGAGAGUGGAACUCCAUGUGUAGCGGUGAAAUGCGUAGAUAUAUGGAAGAACACCAGUGGCGAAAGCGGCUCUCUGGUCUGUAACUGACGCUGAGGUUCGAAAGCGUGGGUAGCAAAUAGGAUUAGAUACCCUGGUAGUCCACGCCGUAAACGAUGAAUGCUAAGUGUUGGAGGGUUUCCGCCCUUCA